GGAGCAGAAGCCUGGGCCUUUGUAAGGGCCUGGGCACCUUUGGGAGCCUGAGCUGGAACUGAAGCUGGAGCUGUAGCCUGGGCCUUGGUUUGAUCCUUGGUCUUGGCCUUGGCCUUUGGCCAGCAGAGCCUGAGCCCCUUGGCAAUGUGGGCAUGAGCACGCUUCCCAAGCUUGGGGUAGGCAAUGUAGGCAAGUUAAUCAAGCUUGCAGCUGACACCCUUUGAGAUCUUGGGCCUAACUUCC